rnacentral:rRNA from 1 species
UCUGGUGCCAGCAGCCGCGGUAAUUCCAGCUCCAAUAGCGUAUAUUAAACUUGUUGCAGUUAAAAAGCUCGUAGUUGAAUUUCUGCGUUGCGUGAUUCUUGCUUUUUGCUUGACUUUCGCUUCGCUUUUUUUUUACUUUGAGACAAUUAGAGUGUUUAUCGCAGACUUUUGUCUUGAAUACUUCAGCACGGAAUACUAGAGUAGGACCUUGGUUAUAUUUUGUUGGUUUUUGAACCUUGGUAAUGGUUAAUAGGAACGGUUGGGGGCAUUCGUAUUUAACUGUCAGAGGUGAAAUUCUUAGAUUUGUUAAAGACGAACGACUGCGAAAGCACUUGCCAAGGACGUUUUCAUUAAUCAAGAACGAAAGGUAGGGGAUCGAAGACGAUCAGAUACCGUCGUAGUCCU